rnacentral:rRNA from 1 species
GACGAACGCUGGCGGCGUGCCUAAUACAUGCAAGUCGAACGCUUUGAUUUUCACCGGAGCUUGCUCCACCGAAAAUCAAAGAGUGGCGGACGGGUGAGUAACACGUGGGCAACCUGCCCAACAGAGGGGGAUAACACUUGGAAACAGGUGCUAAUACCGCAUAAUUUGUUUUUCCGCAUGGAAGAAUAAUAAAAGACGCUUCGGUGUCACUGUUGGAUGGGCCCGCGCUGCAUUAGUUAGUUGGUGGGGUAACGGCCUACCAAGACCAUGAUGCAUAGCCGACCUGAGAGGGUGAUCGGCCACACUGGGACUGAGACACGGCCCAGACUCCUACGGGAGGCAGCAGUAGGGAAUCUUCGGCAAUGGACGAAAGUCUGACCGAGCAACGCCGCGUGAGUGAAGAAGGUUUUCGGAUCGUAAAACUCUGUUGUUAGAGAAGAACAAGUGAGAGAGUUACUGUUCUCACCUUGACGGUAUCUAACCAGAAAGCCACGGCUAACUACGUGCCAGCAGCCGCGGUAAUACGUAGGUGGCAAGCGUUGUCCGGAUUUAUUGGGCGUAAAGCGAGCGCAGGCGGUUUCUUAAGUCUGAUGUGAAAGCCCUCGGCUCGACCGAGGAAGGUCAUUGGAAACUGGGGAACUUGAGUGCAGAAGAGGGGAGUGGAAUUCCAUGUGUAGCGGUGAAAUGCGUAGAUAUAUGGAGGAACACCAGUGGCGAAGGCGACUCUCUGGUCUGUAACUGACGCUGAGGCUCGAAAGCGUGGGGAGCGAACAGG